AUGUUCAAGCUGAGGAUGUCUAGACAUUGCUUGUUCCCAAACAAGAGGAUUAAUGGUUUAAAUUAUGCAUUUGCAUACUGCUCUCCAAUAUUCUUGCAUCUCCUGAACUCAAGAGAAGUAGAAGUGAUUUCCAUACAGUUUGUGUCUAUAACGUUCUAUUCAAUUGAAAAACAAACAACAGAUUUAUUUGAAAUUUAUAAGUGCUUUUCUCAAGUCAAAAAUUCUCACAAUGCUUCAAUCAGUCCCACUGAUGAAGUUCCAACUUUUAAACCACACAGAUGCCAAGUUAAACAAGAACAAAGGCCAGAGGAGCUCUGGACAGAAGUUAACACUUUAUUUCUGUAUUGUCACCAUUCACAGCGACUAUCUGGCUUGGAAUUGCUGGUCAUCAGUUGGCAAAGGACUCCCUCUCCUGGAUUAACUGUAAAAGGAGGCAAAAAUCUUUUACAUGCUUUACAUUCUGUUCCAGUGUGUGCCCGGGUGGGGGAGGGGUGGCCCAGUGGUUUAGUAUGCAAUGAAAAGCUGCUGCCACCUACUGGCCCAGCACUAAAAUCUUCACUUCAACCAGAAGCAUGA
rnacentral:lncRNA from 12 species